rnacentral:rRNA from 1 species
AUGCACGCUGGCGGCGUGCCUCAUACAUGCAAGUCGAGCGAACGGACGAGAAGCUUGCUUCUCUGAUGUCAGCGGCGGACGGGUGAGUAACACGUGGAUAACCUACCUAUAAGACUGGGAUAACUUCGGGAAACCGGAGCUAAUACCGGAUAAUAUUUUGAACCGCAUGGUUCAAAAGUGAAAGACGGUCUUGCUGUCACUUAUAGAUGGAUCCGCGCUGCAUUAGCUAGUUGGUAAGGUAACGGCUUACCAAGGCAACGAUGCAUAGCCGACCUGAGAGGGUGAUCGGCCACACUGGAACUGAGACACGGUCCAGACUCCUACGGGAGGCAGCAGUAGGGAAUCUUCCGCAAUGGGCGAAAGCCUGACGGAGCAACGCCGCGUGAGUGAUGAAGGUCUUCGGAUCGUAAAACUCUGUUAUUAGGGAAGAACAUAUGUGUAAGUAACUGUGCACAUCUUGACGGUACCUAAUCAGAAAGCCACGGCUAACUACGUG